GUGCCAGCAGCCGCGGUAACACGUAGGCACCAAGCGUUGUCCGGAUUUAUUGGGCGUAAAGAGCUCGUAGGCGGUUCAGUAAGUCGGGUGUGAAAACUCAGGGCUCAACCCUGAGCUGCCACCCGAUACUGCUGUGACUUGAGUCUGGUAGGGGAGUGGGGAAUUCCUGGUGUAGCGGUGAAAUGCGCAGAUAUCAGGAGGAACACCGGUGGCGAAGGCGCCACUCUGGGCCACGACUGACGCUGAGGAGCGAAAGCAUGGGUAGCAAACAGGAUUAGAUACCCGAGUAGUCC
rnacentral:rRNA from 1 species